GCUCCGGUGGUGUAUCGGUAACACUAAAGCCCCGAAAGCUGUAUGUGCUGGUUCGAUUCCCGUCUGGGGCA